rnacentral:rRNA from 1 species
AUUGAACGCUGGCGGCAUGCCUUACACAUGCAAGUCGAACGGCAGCACGGGAGCAAUCCUGGUGGCGAGUGGCGAACGGGUGAGUAAAGUAUCGGAACGUGCCCAGUCGUGGGGGAUAACGUAGCGAAAGUUACGCUAAUACCGCAUACGAUCUAUGGAUGAAAGCGGGGGAUCGCAAGACCUCGCGCGAUUGGAGCGGCCGAUAUCCGAUUAGGUAGUUGGUGGGGUAAAGGCUCACCAAGCCGACGAUCCGUAGCUGGGCUGAAGGGACGAGCAGCCACACUGGGACUGAGACCCUGCCCAGACGCCUGCGGGAGGCAGCAGUGGGGAAUUUUGGACAAUGGGCGAAAGCGUGAUCCAGCCAUGCCGCGUGAAGGAUGAAGGCCUUCGGGUUGUAAACUGCCUUUGUACGGAACGAAAAGGUUUGGCCUAAUAAGCUGAGCUCAUGACGGUACCGUAAGAAUAAGCCCCGGCUAACUACGUGCCAGCAGCCGCAGUAA